rnacentral:siRNA from 1 species
GCCGCCGCCUGCGUUUAGGGU